rnacentral:rRNA from 1 species
AUGAGAAUUGUGAAGACAUAUUUGUGCAACCGUCUUGGUGACGACGCCUUGAAGUACGACCUUAUUUGUUACGUGGAGAAAAGUGAAAUGAGGAAGGUUACUAAUGAUGCGGUAAUUGAUCGCUUUGAAGCCAUGAAAGAACGUAGGAAACCAUUUUAG